UCUGUAGAAUUUUGAGGAAAAUAAUGAAUUUAAUCCAUGUGGGAAUACGGCUGUAACAUAACAAUGGGGAAAAAGUGAAGUGCUGCGAAUACUUUCCGGAUGCACUGUAUAUAGUAUAUUGUAUGUAGUGAAACUGAUCUUGUUCUCUCCCUGUCUCCUAUCUAUCUGUAGGUGCUGGGGAAUUGGGAAGUGCUGUGUGCAUAUGUCUGCCUCCUAACCUGCUCCAGCUCUAUUAUAAUCACCAGGAGCUUCUGGAUCCCCUGCUUCAGGGGUGGUGCUCACAUCCAGGCAUGCAACAAUGUCUCCAGUCACCUGAAACCCUUAAGAAGUUUCCAAAUUCUGAUGUCACCCUGGUAACUCUGCUGUUCAACCAACCUUCUCCAUUGUUCUUGUUCAUGUUUUUUUGCCUGGUGAUUUGGAUGUGUUUGCCACCUACACUUACAUGCAACUGGCCUUUGCGUGUGAGGCAAACAGGAUAUCCACUACACUACAGAAACCACGGACAGUGAAGCUCUUUGGCUGUUGACCAUGGUCUGCUGAUGAGAAACGCACAUAGUUAAACUUUUGUUCACCAGAGUUGACUUGCACAACACGGCAUUGGUGGUAUAGUGGUGAGCAUAGCUGUCUUCCAAGCAGCUGACCUGGGCUCGAUACCCGGCCCAUGCACGGAUUGAAACCGGUAGCUACUUGCGGUACUUUAUGGUAGUUGGCACAGAAUGAAGGAAUCACCUACCUGAAAAUAAAUUGGUCAACAGAAUGUGCCAUAGGCUUCUCUGCAGGCCUCCUAGAACUCUUCCUGCUUCCCACUUGUAUUGUUAGUGGUUCUUUGCUGUUUGUUAACACAUCAUUAUCCAUCAGGGCACGUUUGACCUGUGAACAGGGGCGAAAAUGUAAGAACAUGAGGUCUCUCCGUGUCUGUCUUUUGUUAGCGACAAGCUAGCAUGCAAACUGUGAUGAGAGGUGUACAUUUUCCACAAUCAGCCAUCUAUAUAGUCAAUGUUUUAUAUUUAAUAAGCAAUUAUGUCUAUAUGCUGAUUGGUCUUAAGCAGCGUUGUCCAAUCUUCAGGUUUUCAUUCCAAUCUAGCAGGAGCCACACCUGAUUCCAACUGUUUGAUCUGCUGAUCUUGGCUUUCAAUAGACUAAAGUGUGGCUUCUGCUUGGUUAGAAUGAAAACCUGCAACCACACCGGCCCAUUCUGGAUAAGACUGGACAACCCUGAUCUAAAGCAAAUAACCACUAAGGUAAGUGCCACUUUGUGAGUUCUGAAUCUGUCAUGCUGACUUGACGUCACUCGAUGAACAGGGAAGGAACUGGUAGAUGAGAAGAUGUUGUAUAUAAAAUAUACAUGAAAAACACAAGGGAGACCUAGUAUGAGUAAUAUGUAAUUUUAUUGAAAAUUCACUGGGCUGACGUUCACCUAAGACACAACACACACAGAUAAGCAAGGCGCAAACCAUACAUGUAUUUGAUUAAGUGCGGCAGGCCUCAGAGCGUGGGCGAAUGGUCAACUAAGAGACACACACACACACACACACACACACA